rnacentral:rRNA from 1 species
GACGUAGGAUGCAAGCGUUGUCCGGAUUUAUUGGGCGUAAAGAGUUCGUAGGUGGUUCGUUAAGUCUGGUGUAAAAGACUGGGGCUCAACCCUGGGAUCGCACUGGAUACUGGCGGACUGGAGUGUGGUAGAGGCAAGCGGAAUUCCCAGUGUAGAGGUGAAAUUCGUAGAUAUUGGGAAGAACACCGGUGGCGAAGGCGGCUCACUGGCUCGUAACUGACGCUCAUGCACGACAGCGUGGGGAUCAAACAGG